ACCUGAGUACGGAUUCAAUGACACGCAACACCUUACUAGUAUCGAUACUAAAAUAACCAUGGAUAAGAAAAACCAGCUAUCUUUUUCCUUUAUCUCCAUUUCUUUAUUUUUUCCACUCUUUUUGUCCGCCAUCUUUGAAAGAAUUAACGGCGCGUGCCAGUCGUAAAAAUUUUCGAUAAUUUGUCUUUAUUAUCUUUUUGUAAUGGUAAAAUUUCAACGUUUAGAACGAAGCCGCUUAACUUUUAGUUUUAAAGUUAGUUGAAAGCAGUGAUAGAAUGAGAUAAUACAUUGUUAAUAAACUGAAUAUGUUUGUGAAUAUGUUUAGCAUGUUUUAAUACAGUAGGACAAUGUUUAAUAGCAGCUGAUCGAUGGG